rnacentral:misc_RNA from 1 species
GAUAAAUUGUGGAAAAAAUUCUAUGAAAGACAGUUUGGUAAAGAAAGUACUACUACUGUAAUUGAGAGGAUGCGGCAGAAAAGAGUGGCAUUUAGAUGGAUUCAAUUGUAUGAGGCGAAGAUGAAGGACAUUGAAAAGAAUGAGAGUAAAGCUGCAGAUAGAAUAAAACAAAGCUACCAAAAGGAAAAUGCCCGAAAACAAAGUCGUCAAAUACAGAUUUGCAGUAAGGUUCCCCCCUCGAGCAAUAAGAGAAGCUUUGGAGGAACCGGAUAUGGCUACAAUGUGGCAAACACUAAGAACAAGAUACUGAAGAAGGCAAAGAUAGAAGUGCUUCAGAGUCAAGAGAUGAAGAAUAUAAAAGCGUGGCGGAGAAAUGC